rnacentral:lncRNA from 1 species
AAGAGCUAUAUUAGUCACGCUCGGCUUAUUUAUUUUCUAUCUUUACGCCAAUGAGCCCCUCCAUCACGACACAGUCAGUGAUGACUGACAGGCGAGUGCGCUCUCGUGCUCCAGGUACUCAACUUGACAUGACGACACAAUUAACUCCUGGUACGUCUCUGUUGGAAAAUGUGUCAUCAUAGCAGACCCACAUGCGGAGCUUCUCCAAACAGUAAACUCAAACUGAACCCAAAUGGAUCUGUUUCUGGAGUGCACUGACUGUGCACUGACAUUUCGCAUUCUUGCGUUCAGAUGGGAUACGUUCAAAAGCAGAUUCUGUAUUAAACGCAGCCCGUGAAGGUGUGCAGUUUAAACAUUAAAGUUUUCCCACAACAACACGAUGAAGUCUGACUCUCAAAAGACUGCAGAGACUGAAUGUUUUCGGUUGUGAGCGCGCGUCCGCGUAAUCUCUGCGCGCAUUAAAGCGGUUGUUUCUUACCUCGGUGUUUUCAAAAGGCGCUUUGCGCCCGCCAUUCUCUCCAAAAAUGUCUUUAAAAAAAUGUCAACUGUCUUUAGGCUGUUGUGUUAUAUUCCUCUGUGAGGGCGGGAGCACGCGGAGAGGAUUUCGCAGCGCUGCGAUGCGUAACUGUCCCCGAGAAACUCUGAUCCAGAUGCGCAUGCCUCUUUGAGGACGGAAGAAAUCCCCGACCGGGGCAGCGUGACUGCAAGAGCGCCGCGAUAGAGUGUGUCAGCGAGCGGCAGAGAGUCCGCCGCCUGUCCUGCCCCUCUCUCUUCUACGAGAGCGCAGCCUCGAUCAAACCAAAUGAGCUGCAAGACGCAGGCGAUGGCGCUUACGCAUGCACAGACAUGUUAUGACAGGACAUCUGAACCACGAGCCUUUUGCACAUGAUCACUGUGUCCUGAUUCAUGUGUCAUGUGUCUCCAAGGCCACACGGAUGGAAUCAUUUUGGUUUGGCUCAAGGGGGAACAUCCUGUCGCACAUGCACAGGGAGAACAUGCAAACCCCAAACAGAAAGAUCCCCCAUUAGUGUUCUGUUUCAGGUGCCCCAAUCGGAAGUUGAACCGGGGGCCUUGUUGCUGGGAGGCAAGAGCGCUAACCACUGCGCAGCCCGAGAUGUGCAAGUAAACUGUGGAAAAAGAAGAAGCCCCUCCCUGCUUGUCCAGUGUGAACACCAUGGGGUAAAUGCACGUUAAAGAACGCUAUUAGCACAUACUGAAUGCGCGACAAUUGCCCAGUGUGUCCAUAGCUUCAGAGUUCUUAAACUUUGAUGUUUGUGGAGUACUUGGUCACUGACAGCUUCCAGCCUAAGAGCUCAGAGGCCUGUUUACUGCAGCUGCUGUCCAGACUGAAGGAAACCUUACAUUUUGUAUGGGAAAAGAAAACCUUCUGUUUGGUUUUAACAAAAAAGCUGUUAUUUUUCUACCUCAUGGCAUGUUCUUAUAUAGCACUUUUCUACCAACAAGGCCCAAAGCGCUUUACAGGCACAGACCCAUUCACCCAGUGACACCCACAUUCCCUCAUUGACUCAAGGGUGCGCAAGGCAGGAAUUGAACCUGCAAUAUUACGAUCAUGGGUCGACCUCCCUACCGCUGCACCACAGCGCUCCCAAUGAUCAGUCCAAGCAGCUGUUGACAGGAAAACACAAUGUUUGCCGGCUGACAGUCAAUUCCUUCCUAAUGGGCUUGUUAAUCAGAGCAAUCGGCAGACGAGCUCACCUCGGAUUCAUGUUUGCUUAACCUUUUCAUCCAUCUUUCUUCCCAGUGCUGCUCUCAUCACAACAGAUAGUGGGGAUCUUGCUAGACAAUUGCUUGAAAGGCUAAUAAUGGCUGGCACCACUGAAUUGGAUUCAAUAACAAAAUAAACAGGAUGGCUAAGACAGCCAUUUGAAACAUUAAUUGUGGAAAUCACUGGUGUCAAAAAUGAUUAUUGUCUGUUCUGCUGAAAAACAUGAACAACCUAUUAUGAAUAGUAGGUAAAUUACUUUUUUACAAUACCUAGUUUUCCCUAAUUUUGGGAUUUUAAGGAUUUUUUUAAUGGAACAAAACCGGGCUUAAAUUAUAAUCAGCCAGUUUGAUGUUCUGAUUAAAUCAAUUAAAAGGGUUUUUUGUAUUUCUAGUUGUUUGUUUGUACUAAUGCACUCGUUUUUUGGAACAGAAGAUUGUUCAAAGUCAGCACGCGUCAGAGUGACAGCUCAAUUCUGGCUCUUCUGCCUCUGGUGGUCAGCGUGACCUUCGUUUGCCCUCACUUCUCGCUGCUCCCAGAGGAUGAGCAAUAAUGCAAACGAAAAUUACUGCUGCAUCAAAUCUCUCUCUCCAUUCAGAAUGGGCUUCUCCUAAUGUGUCCUUGCAGCGAUGAUGUAAGGUCCUGAAAUAUUUUGGCACAAUCGUGUGUUUCUGCAAUAAAAAAAAGUAUGAAAGAGGCUGGGUGUCUCCUUUAUUUGGGCUUCAAAAAUUUAUGAAAAUAUAAAAAACAGACAAAAGAAAUAUUG